AUGCGCGCGCUAGCUGGUCCGCUGACUCCGACGACCCGCUGCCGUUCCGCAUCUAGAAGCAGGCCACGCCACCACGGCCGCGCCAUGCGCUGCUCCAUCAAACGUCACAUGCAACGACCAGCCCGUAAGAUAAGCGCAACCACGUCCAUGUCCACGUCGCGCGACCACGGCCGCCCUAUAAAGGCCGCCCGCGUGCCACCUGCACCGGUGGCGCCGCCCGCCUUUUCCACCCCGGUCCCUCCCUCUCUUCUACCUCCGGAUCCGCCACCUCCACUACGUUUUCCACCUCGUAAACAUUUCUCCCGUCUGCCGGCCGGAACGGGAGGACCUCGCCGUGGUUUCGCCGCAGAACAAGUUGAUUCGAUCGACGACAAGUCGCUGUCUUUGCCAACUUGGUUACAGAGAAUUUUCCACCGCGUGCGGCUUGAUUCAUGUGAACAAAGAGCGGCACCGAAUCGAAUCCAAUCCAAUCCAGUUGAAGACUUUCUCGCCGAGCUGGGCCGAUCGACGGGCAUGGACAUCGACAUGGAGGGUGGCUCGCAGCCGCAGCCGCAGGGCGCCUCGCUCUCGCCGGCGCCGUUCCUGAUCAAGACCUACGAGAUGGUGGAGGACCCGGCGACCAACCGCGUGGUGUCGUGGGGCCCCGGCGGCGCCAGCUUCGUGGUGUGGAACCCGCCCGACUUCUCGCGGGACCUGCUGCCCAAGUACUUCAAGCACAACAACUUCUCCAGCUUCAUCAGGCAGCUCAACACCUACGGUUUUCGGAAGAUCGACCCGGAGCGAUGGGAGUUCGCCAACGACGACUUCAUCAGGGGGCACAUGCACCUCCUCAAGAACAUCCACCGGCGCAAGCCGGUGCACAGCCACUCGCCGCAGACCCAGGUGAACGGGCCGCUGGCGGAGGCCGAGAGGCGCGAGUACGAGGAGGACAUCAGCAGGCUCAAGCACGAGAACAGCGUGCUCGUGGCAGAGCUCCAGAGGCAGGCGCGGCAGCAGUGCGGGCUCAGCUGGCUGAUGCAGUCGCUGGAGGACCGGCUGAUGGCGAUGGAGCGGCGGCAGGCGGACGUCGUCGCCUCCGUGCGCGACACCCUGCAGAGGAGACGGGGCGGCGUUCAUCCAGGGCAGCAGACCAUGCUGGAACUGGAGCCGACCGACCAUUUCAGCAAGAAGAGGAGGGUUCCGAGGCUCGGUUUCUUCGUCGAGGAGCCCGCGGCGGCAGCGGCCGAGGAGCAGCGGGUGCCGCAUCUGCGGGCGAUGGGUGGUGAGACGCCGGGCAUGGUCAUGGUGAACGCCGAGCCUUUUGAGAAGAUGGAGCUGGCCCUGGUCUCCAUGGAGAAACUCGUCCAGAGGGCAGGCGACUAUGCGUCCUCUGAAGACAUGUACAACGCCGCCGCCGCUGCACCCAGCACCGAUGAUCCGGCUCAUGCAGAUCUGCAGGCAGCACCAGUAAAUCUUCAGCCGUCUUCACCGGAGAUAGCAGAGUCUCCGGGUUACGCUGUCCAGAGUCCAAUGCUACUAUUCCCAGAAAUUCACGAGGACAAGCACAAGACGAUGGCCGAAGUUGACAUGAGCUCCGAGGCCAGCACCACAGACACUUCACAGGACGAGACGACCGCCGAGGCCGAGGCCGAGACCGGAGUUCCCCAUGAACCGGCCGUGGCGAACGAUCUGUUCUGGGAGCGGUUUCUCACGGACACGCCCAAGCCGCUAGCCGUCGAGGAUAGAAAUGAAUCCAAGGACGAUGUAAAGACCGGCCUAGACUGCUACUGGUUCGGUCACCGGAACAAUGUUGAACAGAUCACCGAGCAGAUGGGGCACCUCGCUUCUGCUCAGAAGACCUGA
rnacentral:rRNA from 1 species